rnacentral:misc_RNA from 1 species
GAUGAAGAACGUAGCGAAAUGCGAUACUUGGUGUGAAUUGCAGAAUCCCGUGAACCAUCGAGUCUUUGAACGCAAGUUGCGCCCGAAGCCAUUAGGCCGAGGGCACGCCUGCCUGGGCGUCACACGUCGUUGCCCCCCCAUCUACUCCUUUGGGAUUGCGGGGGGCGGAUGAUGGCCUCCCGUGCGCCUCGCCGCGCGGUUGGCAUAAAUGCCAAGUCCUCGGCGACGCACGCCACGACAAUCGGUGGUUGCGAAACCUCGGUUGCCCGUCGUGUGCGGUCGUCGCGCAUCGAGGGCUCGAAAAAAUUGCCGGGUUCCGGCUCGGCUUUCAACGCGACCCCAGGUCAGGCGGGGUUACCCGCUGAAUUUAAGCAUAUCAAUAAGCGGAGGA